UACGGGGGGAGCAAGCGUUGUUCGGAUUUACUGGGCGUAAAGGGCGCGUAGGCGGUAGCGCACAAGUCAGUUGUGAAAUCUCCGGGCUUAACUCGGAAAGGUCAACUGAUACUGUGCGACUAGAGUGCAGAAGGGGCAACUGGAAUUCUCGGUGUAGCGGUGAAAUGCGUAGAUAUCGAGAGGAACACCUGCGGCGAAGGCGGGUUGCUGGGCUGACACUGACGCUGAUGCGCGAAAGCCAGGGGAGCGAACGGG
rnacentral:rRNA from 1 species